UACGUAGGGUGCAAGCGUUGUCCGGAAUUAUUGGGCGUAAAGAGCUCGUAGGCGGUCUGUCGCGUCGGAUGUGAAAAUCCAGGGCUCAACCCUGGACCUGCAUUCGAUACGGGCAGACUAGAGUUCGGCAGGGGAGACUGGAAUUCCUGGUGUAGCGGUGAAAUGCGCAGAUAUCAGGAGGAACACCGGUGGCGAAGGCGGGUCUCUGGGCAACUACUGACGCUGAGGAGCGAAAGCGUGGGGAGCGAACAGG
rnacentral:rRNA from 1 species